ACCGGAGCUUGCUCCACCGGAAAAAGAAGAGUGGCGAACGGGUGAGUAACACGUGGGUAACCUGCCCAUCAGAAGGGGAUAACACUUGGAAACAGGUGCUAAUACCGUAUAACAAUCGAAACCGCAUGGUUUUGAUUUGAAAGGCGCUUUCGGGUGUCGCUGAUGGAUGGACCCGCGGUGCAUUAGCUAGUUGGUGAGGUAACGGCUCACCAAGGCCACGAUGCAUAGCCGACCUGAGAGGGUGAUCGGCCACAUUGGGACUGAGACACGGCCCAAACUCCUACGGGAGGCAGCAGUAGGGAAUCUUCGGCAAUGGACGAAAGUCUGACCGAGCAACGCCGCGUGAGUGAAGAAGGUUUUCGGAUCGUAAAACUCUGUUGUUAGAGAAGAACAAGGAUGAGAGUAACUGUUCAUCCCUUGACGGUAUCUAACCAGAAAGCCACGGCUAACUACGUGCCAGCAGCCGCGGUAAUACGUAGGUGGCAAGCGUUGUCCGGAUUUAUUGGGCGUAAAGCGAGCGCAGGCGGUUUCUUAAGUCUGAUGUGAAAGCCCCCGGCUC
rnacentral:rRNA from 1 species